UAUAAUAAAGACUUUUUCGCUCGCCUCCCCCCGCACUUCUCCUUUUUCGCGCCAUACCUUUCUCGUGGCAUCUCCCUCGGCAUCUCCCUCUUCUCUUCAAAACACCGUUUAUUCGAUUCUUAACGGUUUUUUGUAACACCGUUGAAACGCUCUCCCCCCACCCCCCACAAAACCCCCUAAAAAAAAAUUAAAUAAAUAAAGACCUAUACUAACUCAAUUUUGCGACUCGCUUAUUAGGAUAUGUUUGUCUCGGCAUAAUUGAAGGAGAUCAUAACAAUAUACAUAUUCUAAAUGAACCUAUACUAACUCAAUUUUGCGACUCGCUUAU
rnacentral:lncRNA from 1 species